AAGAAAACUGCUGCAAAAGGGAGUAACGCUUCAAAUCCACCAGAGACUACUUUGUAGCAAAUCUAAGAGUGGCUCUGCCUGAUGCUCUAUCAUGACUGAUGGCGAAGGGAGAGCGCGCUUUCAGUACGCAGAGUGCCAGGAGCUGGAGGAGGUGCGGGAGGAGGUAAGGCUUGCUGUACCGACAUCCUACAGGAAUGACGCCCAAGGUCAUGAAGAUGACCCAGGAGGAAGACGCCCGGAUGAUGAGGAGGAAGAGGAGGAGGUGGAGAGGACGAGAAGGAGCAGCAGGAGGAGGAGGAGGAGGACGAGCAGCAGCAGUAGCGUUCAAGGAGAUGGAGGAAAUGAAUGGAGUCCUGAAGUUCAGGGGGAUGAAGAACAGGAACCGGAGCUGGAAGUGGAAGUUGGACCAACACUGGGAGUUCGCAUCACGGCUCCCAUCCGUGAUCCAGACUGCGUCUCCGAGGAUGAGGAACAGCAGCCGUAUCCGGCCCUGGCCCCCAUGGCCUUCUUCUGCUUAAAGCAAACAACGAGGCCUCGCAACUGGUGUCUCCGCAUGGUCUGUAACCCAUAUC
ensembl:lncRNA